AGGAAUAUUGGUCAAUGGGCGAGAGCCUGAACCAGCCAAGUAGCGUGCAGGACGACGGCCCUAUGGGUUGUAAACUGCUUUUAUAAGGGAAUAAAGUGAGUCUCGUGAGACUUUUUGCAUGUACCUUAUGAAUAAGGACCGGCUAAUUCCGUGCCAGCAGCCGCGGUAAUACGGAAGGUCCGGGCGUUAUCCGGAUUUAUUGGGUUUAAAGGGAGCGUAGGCCGGAGAUUAAGCGUGUUGUGAAAUGUAGACGCUCAACGUCUGCACUGCAGCGCGAACUGGUUUCCUUGAGUACGCACAAAGUGGGCGGAAUUCGUGGUGUAGCGGUGAAAUGCUUAGAUAUCACGAAGAACUCCGAUUGCGAAGGCAGCUCACUGGAGCGCAACUGACGCUGAAGCUCGAAAGUGCGGGUAUCGAACAGGAUUAGAUACCCUGGUAGUCCGCACGGUAAACGAUGGAUGCCCGCUGUUGGCCUGAAUAGGUCAGCGGCCAAGCGAAAGCAUUAAGCAUCCCACCUGGGGAGUACGCCGGCAACGGUGAAACUCAAAGGAAUUGACGGGGGCCCGCACAAGCGGAGGAACAUGUGGUUUAAUUCGAUGAUACGCGAGGAACCUUACCCGGGCUUGAAUUGCAGAGGAAGGAUUUGGAGACAAUGACGCCCUUCGGGGCCUCUGUGAAGGUGCUGCAUGGUUGUCGUCAGCUCGUGCCGUGAGGUGUCGGCUUAAGUGCCAUAACGAGCGCAACCCCUCUCCUUAGUUGCCAUCAGGUCAUGCUGGGCACUCUGGGGACACUGCCACCGUAAGGUGUGAGGAAGGUGGGGAUGACGUCAAAUCAGCACGGCCCUUACGUCCGGGGCUACACACGUGUUACAAUGGCAGGUACAGAGAGACGGUCCCUUGCAAAAUGGAUCAAAUCCUCAAAGCCUGUCUCAGUUCGGACUGGGGUCUGCAACCCGACCCCACGAAGCUGGAUUCGCUAGUAAUCGCGCAUCAGCCAUGGCGCGGUGAAUACGUUCCCG
rnacentral:rRNA from 1 species